NUUGACGAGUCCCAAAUAGGGCGAAACGCGCGUCCUGGAU
rnacentral:hammerhead_ribozyme from 1 species